UGGGGUAGGGCUAGUGAUUGGGGUAGGGUUAGGGGUUGGAGUAGGGUUAGGGUUAGAGAUUGGAGUAGGGUUAGGGUUAGUGAUUGGAGUAGGGUUAGGGGUAGGUUAGGGUAGGGUAACCCUAACCCUAUUCCUAACCCUCCCCUAACCCUAACCAUACUCAUAACCCUUCCCUACCCCUAAACCUACCCUAACUCUAAACUUACCCCUAACUCUAACCCUGCCAUAACCCUACUCCUAACUCUAACCCUGCUCCUAACCCAACCCUACCCCUUACCCUAACCCUACCAUAACCUUACCCAUAACCCUAACCUUACCCUAUCUCUA